rnacentral:misc_RNA from 1 species
AAGUUAUAGUCCCCCGGCCCUCUGGGCUGGGGUCCUCUAUACCACCCUUUGUUUACAUAUCUUUGUUGCUUUGGCAGGCCCGCUCUCGGGCCACCGGCUUCGGCUGGUCAGCGCCUGCCAGAGGACCUAAAACUCAUGUUAAUAAUAUUGUCUGAUAACAUAUUAUGAAUAUACUUAAUUCAAAAUA